AUUGAACGCUGGCGGCAGGCCUAACACAUGCAAGUCGAACGAGUGGCGGACGGGUGAGUAAUGUCUGGGAAACUGCCCGUUGGAGGGGGGUAACUACUGGAAAGGGUAGCUAAUACCGCAUACUAUCGGAGGUGCCGAGAUGGGAUUAGCUAGUUGGUGGGGUAAAGGCUCACCAAGGCGAAGAUCCAUAGCUGGUUUGAGAGGAGGACCAUCCACAGUGGAACGGAAACACGGCCCAGACGCAUACGGGAGGCAGCAGGGGGGAAUAUUGCACAAUGGGAGCAAGCCUGAUGCAGCCAUGCCGCGUGUAUGAAGAAGGCCCUAGGGUUGUAAAGUACUUUCAGCGGGGAGGCGUUACUCACAGAAGAAGCACCGGCUAACGCCGUGCCAGCAGCCGCGGUAAUAC
rnacentral:rRNA from 1 species